CAAUAGCGUAUAUUAAAGUUGUUGCAGUUAAAAAGCUCGCAGUUGGAUUUCUGGUGGGAGCGAUCGGUCUGGCGCUUAGCGCGAGUACUUGCAUCGUCUCCGGCCAUCCUUGGGGAGAGUCUGUCUGGCAUUAGGUUGUCGGGCAGAGGAUCCUCAUCGUUUACUGUGAAAAAAUUAGAGUGUUCAAAGCAGGCUUAUGCCGUUGAAUAUAUUAGCAUGGAAUAAUAAGAUAGGACUUUGGUACUAUUUUGUUGGUUUGCGCACCAAAGUAAUGAUUAAUAGGGACAGUUGGGGGUAUUCGUAUUCCGUUGUCAGAGGUGAAAUUCUUGGAUUUACGGAAGACGAACUACUGCGAAAGCAUUUACCAAGGAUGUUUUCAUUAA
rnacentral:rRNA from 1 species